GGUGCUGUAGUGUAGUGGUAUCACGUCACGUUGUGGCUGGAGCAUAGCUUCAUCAACAAUACCGUGCCGACCUGGGUUCGAUUCCCAGCAGCGCCA